UACGGAGGAUGCGAGCGUUAUCCGGAUUUAUUGGGUUUAAAGGGUGCGUAGGCGGAAUAUCAAGUCAGCGGUAAAAAUUCGGGGCUCAACCCCGUCGUGCCGUUGAAAUUGAUGUUCUUGAGUGGGCGAGAAGUAUGCGGAAUGCGUGGUGUAGCGGUGAAAUGCAUAGAUAUCACGCAGAACUCCGAUUGCGAAGGCAGCAUACCGGCGCCCAACUGACGCUGAAGCACGAAAGCAUGGGUAUCGAACAGG
rnacentral:rRNA from 1 species